GAGGUAACAGUGGAUGUGUUUGUGUGAAUGAUCAAGUAAAGAAAAUUAAGUAGAGAAUCAAGUAGAAAGAUCUAUAGGAGGUGAAAGGAAAAAAAAAUGCAGAAGGAGACUGGUCUAAACAUGUUCCUUAAUCCUCACACCCCACCAUCUCAUUUGACUGUCUGAAUGGGAGGAAGUCUGCUUAUUCAUUUGAAGCACUGGGACCUGGACACACCAGAGACUCUAUAGAGUGACUCUAUGUGCCUGGUAAAGGGAGAUGGGAGGAGCAGGGAAAAAUCAAAAUGCCAUAUGUUCAGCUCCAAAUGCUUUCUUAUUCAUAUCUUAUUCAAACUAAGUCAUUUUAAAACAUUCAUAGGGAACUA